GACGAACGCUGGCGGCGUGCUUAACACAUGCAAGUCGAACGGCAAGGCACUGCUUUUGUGGGGUGCUCGAGUGGCGAACGGGUGCGUAACACGUGAGUAACCUGCCCUUGACUUUGGGAUAACUUCAGGAAACUGGGGCUAAUACCGGAUAGGAGCUCCUGUUGCAUGGAGGGGGUUGGAAAGUUUCGGCGGUUGCGGAUGGACUCGCGGCUUAUCAGCUUGUUGGUGGGGUAGUGGCUUACCAAGGCUUUGACGGGUAGGCGGCCUGAGAGGGUGACCGGCCACAUUGGUACUGAGGUACGGCCCAGACUCCUACGGGAGGCAGCAGUGGGGAAUAUUGCACAAUGGGCGGAAGCCUGAUGCAGCAACGCCGCGUUCGGGAUGACGGCCUUCGGGUUGUAAACCGCUUUCGCCUGUGACGAAGCGUGAGUGACGGUAAUGAGUAAAGAAGCACCGGCUAACUACGUG
rnacentral:rRNA from 1 species